rnacentral:misc_RNA from 1 species
ACGGGUCUUGAGAUCCUCCAUGGCGUUGGUUGUGGUUAACUUAGGAGCAGAGGAGGAGGAGGCAGUAGACAGAGAAGAGGCAGCGACAGAAGUGGUGGCGAGUCCAAUAAAGCUGCGCGCUCUUUUGAGAAUACUUCUAAGCCUGCUAGGGGUUCGAUUCAUAUUUCCCCCCGCUUCACGUUCUCUUUAUCCUCAGCCUCUUUUUCCUUUUCUACUCACACGCGCUCUGGCGCCAAAACGUGUUUGGUUCC